GCACAACUUUCCCCGCCGCCCGGCGUGUGCGGCCGCGGCCCUGCCUGCCAGCCCGGCGGAGGCACCGGGGGACCGGGAAGGACCGGGGGCUCCGGGAGGGCGCGCCCCCCAGCGUGGACCCCCGCGGGCGGCCGAGGGCGCGGCGCCCGCUGCCUGCCCCCGCCGCCCCGGCGGCCGCUUACCUCGGCUCACCAGUUUGAAGCUCUGGGAUUUCCUGCUUCUUUUCCUCUCGGAGAACUCCAUGGUGCGGGGAAGGCGGCGGCGGGGGCUGAGGAGGCGGCGGCAGCGGCGGCAGCGGCAGCGGCGGCAGCGGCAGCGGCGGCGCGGGCUCGUGUCACCGCGGCGGAGCCGCCGGGACCAAGGGACACAGAGUAGGACAACUGCCGAGGAAGGGGGACAUUGAGGCAGCUUGCAGAAACACACAUGGAGAAACAGAACCAAAGAGCAGGGUAACCAGCAAACCAGGCAGUGGAGGCAGGGAUGGGUACCCAUCCCGAGAUCUUGGGUGAUACCAAAGGCGGCACAUCCGGAAGGCUGGUUAUACCUAGCGUGGAGGGGAGAGGGAGAACUGUUUCUUCCGUUCAAUAAAGCAAACCCUUCAACAA
rnacentral:lncRNA from 1 species